rnacentral:lncRNA from 1 species
GUUUUGAUUUCAAAUAAAAUUUAAUACAGUAAGCAUUUGUGUGAUACAGAUUGAAGUCAAACAACGGCAUGGCUUCUGCUAUGGCCAUCAGUCAAAGUGUGUUAUCAAUAACAAUCGAUGAGUGUCCACACAGGAACGAGAAAAAAAGUAUAAUAGCCCCAUUUUCUAAUUCUACCACCUUUAUUGAUAUAUUCAAUCAGUAUCAUGACUUUGGAUUAAAGAACAAUGAAUUUACUGUGACUGGAAAAAAUGGAUGCAAUAUUUGCCUCACAUUAUUUGAAUGUUUCGGUUGUUUCGAUGUUUAUAAUUUGUUCAGAAUUUUAUAGGAAUAAAAUUGACAGUAUAACAAGUUUACAAUGUUUUGGCAUUUACUUCUGACAGUCUUUUCUAAUACAAGAGGGAAGCCAAACGUUCAAUUUAGGAUUAAAUUUAAUUUUAAUAUCUGAUAUUUGCUCAACCAUAGCCCCAAAACUCAAUUUGUAAUUGAUUUUCUUUUAAACAGCUAGUAUAUAAUCAAAAUUUCAAAGAUUUUCACCCAUCCCUCUAUCAUGUUAUUAAUAUUUGGUAUUUGUAGAAAAGCUGGCAUCAGUUCUGUGAACUAAAUUGUCUGAAAGAAACUGAUUAUAAAACAGGUCUUUGCUGAGACAGACUUUGAUGGGCUUUCUGUGUAAGACUAUAGCCUGACCCGUACAGAUGGCAUAUCAGUUCUGAAAAGUUUGAAAAUUUUAUAAGCUGGAAGUCCUGGCCAAGUCUUCUGCAACUUUUGAACAUGGACUAUUCAUAUCUUGUAUACUUUAUACAAUGAACUGAUGAAAAUAACCUGAAAGAAUAACAAACUGAUUAUAAAAAUACACAACAAACAACCG